CAAUAGCGUAUAUUAAAGUUGUUGCAGUUAAAAGGCUCGUAGUUGGAUUUCUGGUGGGAGCGAUCGGUCUGGCGCUUAGCGCGAGUACUUGCAUCGUCUCCGGCCAUCCUUGGGGAGAGUCUGUCUGGCAUUAGGUUGUCGGGCAGAGGAUCCUCAUCGUUUACUGUGAAAAAAUUAGAGUGUUCAAAGCAGGCUUAUGCCGUUGAAUAUAUUAGCAUGGAAUAAUAAGAUAGGACUUUGGUACUAUUUUGUUGGUUUGCGCACCAAAGUAAUGAUUAAUAGGGACAGUUGGGGGUAUUCGUAUUCCGUUGUCAGAGGUGAAAUUCUUGGAUUUACGGAAGACGAACUACUGCGAAAGCAUUUACCAAGGAUGUUUUCAUUAA
rnacentral:rRNA from 1 species